GUAGAGUAGAGGGUAGAGUAGACGGCAUUAGAGUAGAGGGUAGAGUAGAGGGUAGAGUAGAGGGUAGAGUAGAGGGUAGAGUAGACGGCGGUAGAGUAGAGGGUAGAGUAGAGGGUAGAGUAGAGGGUAGAGUAGAGGGUAGAGUAGAGGGUAGAGUAGAGGGUAGAGUAGACGGCAUUAGAGUAGAGGGUAGAGUAGAGGGUAGAGUAGACGGCAUUAGAGUAGAGGGUAGAGUAGACGGCAUUAGAGUAGAGGGUAGAGUAGAGGGUAGAGUAGACGGCAUUAGAGUAGAG
ensembl:lncRNA